rnacentral:tRNA from 1 species
UCAACAGGUGGCCGAAUAUUGGUAUGAGUCUUUUAAACUCACUAUAGUGAAAACUCCUGGUGAG